UUGCUCCCUUUGGCAGCACAUAUGCUAAAACUGGAACAAUACAGAGAAUAGCAUGACCCCUGCACAAGGGUGACAUGCCAAUUUGUGAAACAUUGCCUAUUUUC